rnacentral:rRNA from 1 species
GUCUCAGGCCGUAUCAGCCUGAAGGCGCCCGAUCUCGUCUGAUCUCGGAAGCUAAGCAGGGUGGGGCCUGGUUAGUAUCUUGGAUGGGAGACCACCUGGGAAUCCCGGGUGCUCGAGGCU